rnacentral:rRNA from 1 species
AGACCCGAAACCCGGUGAUCUAGCCAUGGGCAGGUUGAAGGUUGGGUAACACUAACUGGAGGACCGAACCGACUAAUGUUGAAAAAUUAGCGGAUGACCUGUGGCUGGGGGUGAAAGGCCAAUCAAACCGGGAGAUAGCUGGUUCUCCCCGAAAGCUAUUUAGGUAGCGCCUCGUGAAUUCAUCUCCGGGGGUAGAGCACUGUUUCGGCCAGGGGGCCAUCCCGGCUUACCAAUCCGAUGCAAACUGCGAAUACCGGAGAAUGUUAUCACGGGAGACACACGGCGGGUGCUAACGUCCGUCGUGAAGAGGGAAACAACCCAGACCGCCAGCUAAGGUCCCAAAGUCAUGGUUAAGUGGGAAACGAUGUGGGAAGGCCCAGACAGCCAGGAUGUUGGCUUAGAAGCAGCCAUCAUUUAAAGAAAGCGUAAUAGCUCACUGGUCGAGUCGGCCUGCGCGGAAGAUGUAACGGGGCUAAACCAUGCACCGAAGCUGCGGCAGCGACACUGAUGUGUUGUUGGGUAGGGGAGCGUUCUGUAAGCCGUUGAAGGUGGCCUGUGAGGGUUGCUGGAGGUAUCAGAAGUGCGAAUGCUGACAUAAGUAACGAUAAAGCGGGUGAAAAGCCCGCUCGCCGGAAGACCAAGGGUUCCUGUCCAACGUUAAUCGGGGCAGGGUGAGUCGACCCCUAAGGCGAGGCCGAAAGGCGUAGUCGAUGGGAAACGGGUUAAUAUUCCCGUACUUGGUGUUACUGCGAAGGGGGGACGGAGAAGGCUAUGUUGGCCGGGCGACGGUUGUCCCGGUUUAAGCGUGUAGGUGUGUGUUCCAGGUAAAUCCGGUUCACUUUAACACUGAGGCGUGACGACGAGGCACCACGGUGCUGAAGCAACAAAUGCCCUGC